UGCUACAGCCAUGCCACUCUGAACGUCCUGAUCUCAUCUGAAAUCGGAAGCUAAGCAGGGUCGGGCCUGGUUAGUACUUGGAUGGGAAGCCACCUAGGAAGACCAGGUGCUGUAGGUG
ensembl:rRNA 5S_rRNA 5S ribosomal RNA